rnacentral:tmRNA from 1 species
AGUUAAUAUAACUGCAAAGAACGAAAAUUCUUACGCUUUAGCUGCUUAAUAACCAGCUAGCGUGAUCCUUCCGACUUCGCUCAAGGGUCGGGUCUGGGUCUCAAAUUAUUGAGCUACGGUUAAUGUUGCCACCUGAGGCAUUAACAAGAGACUAGUAGGUUAGCCGCCUUGUGUUAGCCUUGCUGGCUGGCGCGACAUCGCGGCGAAUUUUAAAUAAGUCAGCUAUAGGUGUAGAGCUGCAUGUAGCAGGGGUGAUGGACAGGAGUUCGAUUCUCCUCACCUCCACCA